AGUGAACGCUGGCGGUAGGCCUAACACAUGCAAGUCGAACGGCAGCACAGUAAUAGCUUGCUCUUACGUGUUGCGAGUGUCGGACGGGUGAUGUAUACCUCGGAAUCUACUUUUUCUUGGGGGUUAACGUAGGGUAACUUACGCUAAUACCUCAUACUACCUACUUGUUAAAUCAUUGGUUCUUCGGACCUUUCGCGUUUUAUUGAGCCGAUUUCGGAUUAGCUAGUUUGCGGGGUAAAGGCCCACCAAGGCGACGAUCCGUAGCUGGUCUGAGAGGAUGAUCAGCCACACUGGAACUGAGACACGGUACAGAGUACUACGGGAGGCAGCAGUGGGGAAUAUUGGACAAUGGGCGCAAGCAUGAUCCAGCAAUACCGCGUGGGUGAAGAAGGCCUUCGGGUUGUAAAGCCCUUUUGUUGGGAAAGAAAAGCAGCAGGCUAAUACCCCGAUGUUAUGACGGUACCCAAAGAAUAAGCACCGGCUAACUUCGUG
rnacentral:rRNA from 1 species